rnacentral:lncRNA from 1 species
AACUUUCACCUUCCGAACUCGCCUUCUUUCAUUGGACAAAGUACAGAAAGAAAGAGGAGAGACCGAGGGAGGACGGGAGAGAAGGAGAAAGGGGGUUGAAAACACCACCCUACCUCCCCCUCCUUCAACUGUCACUGAUGGCAAAACACUUUCACUUUUAACUGGAGGAAACUCACAUCCCUGUCUAUCCUCUCCUCUUCCUUCUGUAUUUUUAGCUCAGAAACCAAGCAAAUAGCCAUCGUAUUACGAUCUUCGUCCCUAGUUGCUAACACUCUCCCUCUCGUUUUUUUUCCCCCAGUGUCUGAAUGGGCCCCCCUUUGCCCCUCUUCUGAAGAAUCCCCCUCCCCCAUGCCCCUUGUUUUCCAGGUCUUUCUUGCCUGAUUCCUCUUUUGCCAGGGACUGCUCUGGCGUGGCCCUCCUCUCUCGGGUCUGCAGGCUCUGCCUCCUUCUCCCCCAUCCAGCCUGGAUGCCCCUCACUCCCACCUCUCUGAUCCCCUUGCCCCCAAUUCCCACCUCCCCCAGCCCUGCUUUGGCAACUGCGAUUUUUUUUUUUUUUUUUUUUUGCUGCAAGCCUUGUUGUUUACCCAGCAGGUGGAUGUGACGUCAGGGACGCACAACAGCAAAAAAUAACAACAUCUCCCUCCGCGACGUGUUGGCCUCCCGCGCGCCUUAUUUAUUUAUUUGUUCCGGGGGUGAGGGUGGGGGCGGGCACCAGCACCUAAGUGUCUUGGGGAAGGAGGGUGAGCAGGCUCAAGCCCGGGGGUGGUUUGUGGGCGCGUGAGGUGGAGAAGGGGCCCAGGCUGGAUGCCAGGGGUGGGAGCAGGCUGGGGAAAGCCCCGGGCCCGACGCCGUCCGCGCCUCUGCGGCCGCCGCCACCACUGGCGCUAGCUGGGCUCCGGGAAGCUAGUCCGGAGCGGAGGAAUCUAUUGUUAUUUAUUGUGUGGCGGUUUCAUGCUGUACUCGCGCGGCCCGGCCCUCGCCCGGGAGUGCGUGUGUGUGUGCGUGUGUGUCUGUGUGUGUGUGUGUAUAUGUGAGCGCGCGCGCGUGUGUGACCAAGUGAGUGUGUUUGCGGGGGUGCGCGCGCGGGCGGGAGUGGGCGCGCUCGGGGAAAGGCCCGAAAACACCUUAGUUUGCACCGAGAGACCAUUUGCUGCGGAACCCGAAAGUUUGCAAGAGGAAGAGAGCGUGUGGCGAGCAAGCGGGCCAGGGGCAGCGGCAGCGGCGCCGGGGACCAUGGUGCUGCCGGCGCCUCCUCCGCGGGCGUGAAGGCGGCGCUCCCACUCCCUCCCGGGUCUCCGCGGUGUCCCAGGAGCUUUUGCUGACAAUUCCAGUUUCCAAACGAAACAUUUGGGCAAUGGUGAAGGCUUCAGUACCUUCUCACAUUUGCUGUCAACAAUGAAUGGACGGAUGUGAUGCCUGCUGGUCAAAAGGGUGAGUGAACAUUUAAGAUUAUUCGUCUGAAAAUUCACAAGGCCAAAUGUGGGCUGAAGGGGUCCUGCCUAAUGCAGGAAACUGAAAAAAAUCCCAAGUUCAUCGGAACAGCUACACUGAAGAUGAGAGACUGUCAUUGAGAAAGAACAGACACUAUCAUUGUUUUCUGGUAGAACCUUUUGGGAUAACUUGUACACUGAUCUGAGAAUUUAUAAAAGGUAUAAUAGGACACAGGAGAACUUUUUUUGUUUAUGUGAUUCUUUUAAGCAUAAUCUGAAGGACAGGCUGCCUAAGUUAUGAGCUACAUGCACAGUUGAAAGAAUAAUUGCGUUUUUUUGUCUCAUUACAGUUUGGUGAUAAAAUGAACUACUAUGAAAUAAGACCAUUUUGAGUGGUGGGAGGGGGU